rnacentral:rRNA from 1 species
GUAGGUGGCAAGCGUUGUCCGGAAUUAUUGGGCGUAAAGCGCGCGCAGGUGGUUCUUUAAGUCUGAUGUGAAAGCCCCCGGCUCAACCGGGGAGGGUCAUUGGAAACUGGGGAACUUGAGUGCAGGAGAGGAAAGUGGAAUUCCACGUGUAGCGGUGAAAUGCGUAGAUAUGUGGAGGAACACCAGUGGCGAAGGCGACUUUCUGGCCUGUAACUGACACUGAGGCGCGAAAGCGUGGGGAGCAGACAGGGAUUAGAUACCCUGGUAGUCCACGCCGUAAACGAUGAGUGCUAAGUGUUGGGGGGGUUUCCGCCCCCUCAGUGCUGCAGCUAACGCAUUAAGCACUCCGCCUGGGAGUACGGUCGCAAGACUG